AUUGAACGCUGGCGGCAUGCCUUACACAUGCAAGUCGAACGGUAACGCGGGGUAACCUGGCGACGAGUGGCGAACGGGUGAGUAAUGCAUCGGAACGUGCCCAGUUGUGGGGGAUAACUGCUCGAAAGAGCAGCUAAUACCGCAUACGACCUGAGGGUGAAAGCGGGGGAUAGAAAGACCUCGCGCAAUUGGAGCGGCCGGUGUCGGAUUAGCUAGUUGGUGGGGUAAAGGCCCACCAAGGCGACGAUCCGUAGCUGGUCUGAGAGGACGACCAGCCACACUGGGACUGAGACACGGCCCAGACUCCUACGGGAGGCAGCAGUGGGGAAUUUUGGACAAUGGACGCAAGUCUGAUCCAGCCAUGCCGCGUGCGGGAAGAAGGCCUUCGGGUUGUAAACCGCUUUUGUCAGGGAAGAAAUCUUCUGGGUUAAUACCUCGGGAGGAUGACGGUACCUGAAGAAUAAGCACCGGCUAACUACGUGCCAGCAGCCGCCGUAAGAC
rnacentral:rRNA from 1 species